rnacentral:rRNA from 1 species
UACGGAGGGUGCAAGCGUUGUUCGGAAUUACUGGGCGUAAAGCGCGUGUAGGCGGUUUGGUAAGUCAGAUAUGAAAGCCCUGGGCUUAACUCAGGAAGUGCAUUUGAAACUACCAAACUCGAGUAUGGGAGAGGAGAGUGGAAUUCCCAGUGUAGAGGUGAAAUUCGUAGAUAUUGGGAGGAACACCCGUGGCGAAGGCGACUCUCUGGACCAAUACCGACGCUGAGACGCGGAAGCGUGGGGAG